UCCUGUAUCAAAGGUGAUCUUGCCGUGUGCGUCGCCAGGUCAUUGAUAAUACAGGAAGAUAAAGCUGCCAGCCUUACACAUGUCUGCAGGACCACCACUUCCUGUCAGACCCUGAUGCUUGCAGACA